rnacentral:rRNA from 1 species
GACGAACGCUGGCGGCGUGCCUAAUACAUGCAAGUCGAGCGAGCGGAACUAACAGAUUUACUUCGGUAAUGACGUUAGGAAAGCGAGCGGCGGAUGGGUGAGUAACACGUGGGGAACCUGCCCCAUAGUCUGGGAUACCACUUGGAAACAGGUGCUAAUACCGGAUAAGAAAGCAGAUCGCAUGAUCAGCUUUUAAAAGGCGGCGUAAGCUGUCGCUAUGGGAUGGCCCCGCGGUGCAUUAGCUAGUUGGUAAGGUAAAGGCUUACCAAGGCGAUGAUGCAUAGCCGAGUUGAGAGACUGAUCGGCCACAUUGGGACUGAGACACGGCCCAAACUCCUACGGGAGGCAGCAGUAGGGAAUCUUCCACAAUGGACGCAAGUCUGAUGGAGCAACGCCGCGUGAGUGAAGAAGGUUUUCGGAUCGUAAAGCUCUGUUGUUGGUGAAGAAGGAUAGAGGUAGUAACUGGCCUUUAUUUGACGGUAAUCAACCAGAAAGUCACGGCUAACUACGUGCCAGCAGCCGCGGUAAU